rnacentral:rRNA from 1 species
CCUACGGGAGGCAGCAGUGAGGAAUAUUGGUCAAUGGGCGCAAGCCUGAACCAGCCAAGUCGCGUGAGGGAUGACGGUCCUAUGGAUUGUAAACCUCUUUUGUCGGGGAGCAAGGCCCGCCAGGUGUGGCGGGAAGGAGAGUACCCGAAGAAAAAGCAUCGGCUAACUCCGUGCCAGCAGCCGCGGUAAUACGGAGGAUGCGAGCGUUAUCCGGAUUUAUUGGGUUAAAAGGGUGCGGAGGCGGAAGGUUAAGUCAGCGGUAAAAUGUCGGGGCUCAACACCGGCCUGCCGUUGAAACUGGUCUUCUUGAGUGAGCGAGAAGUAUGCGGAAUGCGUGGUGUAGCGGUGAAAUGCAUAGAUAUCACGCAGAACUCCGAUUGCGAAGGCAGCAUACCGGCGCUCAACUGACGCUGAGGCACGAAAGCGUGGGGAUCGAACAGGAUUAAAUACCCCAGUAGUC